UAUUUUGGCUUUGGGAAUUGACUGUUAAAUUUAAAAAUAUGUAAGUUAGGUAGUUUAAAUAAUGUAAAUGCAGUUUUUAAAUUUAAUAAUUAUAGAAAUAUAGAAUUAGAAAUUUGAUUAGUUUAGGUUAAGUUUGUGCCAGCAACAGCGGUUAGACAAACUAAACAGGUUAAUUAUGUCGGAUCAAUUAAAUUAAUUUUUAAAUUUAGAGUAUAAGUUUUUAAGUGAAAUUUAAAUUUAUAAAAGAAUUAUUUAUCUUAGGUUGAAGUUGAGAAAUUUUAGUAUUAAAUUAGGAUUAGAUACCCUAUUAUUUAAAAUGUAGAUUUAUUCCGUGGUUAUUAAUAGUUAAGAUCUUUAAAUCUAAAAAAUUUGGCGGUAUUUUAGUCUUUUCAGAGGAACCUGUUUAUUAAUUGAUAAUCCACGAUUAAAAAUACUUUAAUUUUUUAGCUUGUAUAUCGUUGUUUAAAAAAUUUUUUUAGAAUUUAAUUUUUAAAAUUUUUGUUAAAAUGAAUUUCAGAUCAAGGUGUAGUUUAUAUUAAAGUUUAAAUGGGUUACAUUGUAAAUAUAAUUUGGAUUUGUAAUUUAAAAUUAUAAUUAAAUUGGAUUUGAGAGUAAAAUUGUUAUAUUAAUAAUUUGAUUAAGCUCUAAAAUAUGUACAUAUCGCCCGUCGCUUUCAUUUAAAAUGAAAUAAGUCGUAACAAAGUAGAUUUAUUGGAAAAUGAAUCUGGAAUGAU
rnacentral:ncRNA from 1 species